UGUCUACUGCGUGCGGAGCCUCCCUCUUCCCCCGUGUGUACUCCAAGAAGCGAGUCAGGGUGGAGGUGUCAGUCUGGCCUCGCCAUGGGGGUGGGUGUGACAUCCAUCGGUGGGUGUGACAGGAGAGGCCAGCACGCAGGGUUGGACUCCAGAGUGGCAGGACUCCAGAAAGCACGACGGUGUGGACCCUAGGAGAGGCCUGUUCCCGGCGAUAUCGCAGCCCAGGGGUACCUGGGUCCUUGGCACGCACGCAAGGAUUUGUUCCAGACAUCCAUGAACAAGCCAGGACGAAGCCCUUUCCCGCCAAACCACUAAGGCUGGGGAAUAAGCGGUGCCUGCCCCAACUCUGGGAGCGGGAACCCGGGAGAAGACUUGAGUGGCUCUGGAAAAACUGGCAGGAAUUUCCUUGUCGUGAGAAGACCGACGAGCGUCUGCAGAGGAGAAGACAACUGCAAACAGACUUUGGGCCAGGGAGGAGGGCGGGAGGAGGGGUGGCGGGGGCCAGCUUUGAUGGCUUCAACUCUGUUGUAAUUUUGUCUUCUCCAGAUUAGCCAAAAUAGUCAGCCCUAGCUGGGAGUUCUGUUCCGCAGAAUCCGCUCCCACCCCACCCCUCCACCCCCGCGUCAUGUGCACGCGAGGAGCUGUGUAGCUGCUGCUCCCCGAGUCACGCCUGAAACUUCCAGGGCUAAUGGUUCUGUAUUCCUGCCGUAAUUAGGAGGCCACACAGCUCUCCAACACUCCGUUAAACAAGUAUGUAAGUCAUCCUCUCCCUCUCCGGGGACAGACCGGGGGAAGGAAGGCUGCUGGGACCGCUUCGGGCGGUGUGUCCUCCGUUAGGGGAGUGGCUUGCUGUGACCCCCGGCUGCUCCUCCUGGCCCUGGUCUUUCUAAGCUCUUCCUUAGAAAGUAGAGAAAGGGGCAAAGAAUGUGCAUCUCGCCACCCACCGGACGAGCCAGGCGAGCCUGUAUCUGUGCUUGUAAAGUUUUCUAAAUAAAUUGGUUCCAAGCAGUGAUGAA